ACUCCUACGGGAGGCAGCAGUGGGGAAUAUUGCACAAUGGGGGAAACCCUGAUGCAGCAACGCCGCGUGAGUGAUGACGGUCUUCGGAUUGUAAAACUCUGUCUUUAGGGACGAUAAUGACGGUACCUAAGGAGGAAGCCACGGCUAACUACGUGCCAGCAGCCGCGGUAAUACAGAGGGGGCAAGCGUUGUUCGGAAUUAUUGGGCGUAAAGGGCGCGUAGGCGGUGCGGUAAGUCAGGCGUGAAAGCCCCGGGCUCAACCCGGGAAUUGCGCUUGAUACUGUUGCGCUUGAAUCCAGGAGAGGAUGGCGGAAUUCCCAGUGUAGAGGUGAAAUUCGUAGAUAUUGGGAAGAACACCCGUGGCUAAGGCGGCUCUCUAGUACGGUACUGACGCUGAGACGCGAAAGCGUGGGGAGCAAACAGGAUUAGAUACCCUGGUAGUCCACGCUGUAAACGAUGUGUGCUUGACGUCGGAGGGCAUAGCCCAUCGGUGUCGGAGCUAACGCGGUAAGCACACCGCCUGGGGAGUACGGUCGCAAGGCUGAAACUUAAAGGAAUUGACGG
rnacentral:rRNA from 1 species